rnacentral:rRNA from 1 species
UGCUUAACACAUGCAAGUCGAACGGCAUCACGGUCUAGCUUGCUAGGCUGGUGGCGAGUGGCGAACGGGUGAGUAACGCGUAGGAAUAUGCCUUAAAGAGGGGGACAACUUGGGGAAACUCAAGCUAAUACCGCAUAAUAUCUGAGGAUAAAAGCUGGGGACCUUAGGGCCUGGCGCUUUAAGAUUAGCCUGCGUCCGAUUAGCUAGUUGGUGGGGUAAGGGCCUACCAAGGCGACGAUCGGUAGCUGGUCUGAGAGGAUGGCCAGCCACACUGGAACUGAGACACGGUCCAGACUCCUACGGGAGGCAGCAGUGGGGAAUAUUGGACAAUGGGGGGAACCCUGAUCCAGCAAUGCCGCGUGUGUGAAGAAGGCCUGAGGGUUGUAAAGCAC